rnacentral:lncRNA from 1 species
CCCGAGGUUUACAGUAUUGCCUACUAUGUAUAGUAGGUUCACAAACAAUGAAGUACAAUUUUAUUUUUUGUAACUUUAUACACGGCUUAGACUUGGCUUAUUCUUCACAAAGUUAUUUUAUUUAACUAAUUUGAGGGAUGUUAUUGUUCAAAUAACAAAUAUUUUUUUUAUAGAUAUGGCUCAACUUCAGAAAAAAAUCCUCAAGUUCCUCAAUUCUACAUUGUAUUAUUCACUUUCCUUUGAGAAAUACCAGGGCAAGUCUGCUGAUCAUUCUGAAGAACGCCAAAACAAAUUUGAAAAAGUAGGUCAUCUAUCAGACCUGAACUUUGGUGCAAGUGGAACUAUUUGUGAGAAUAGAAUUCCUAAAAUGUACCCCCUAAAGUUGACUGCACGAACAUGGCUUCUGUAAUACGUAGGCUUGAUAAUGCUGUAUCUACAGUAAUCUAUAAUUUCAUAUAAUUUUCAUUCCGUCGAGCCUACAAAAAUGACCAAAGGAGGUUCUACAAAAAAAGAAAGCAAAAAUAAUUGUGGAACAGCCUAAUGCUAUUCAUCAAUAUAAUCAACUAAUUGGUGGUACUGAUAGAAUGGACCAAAAUAUCAAAUCGCAAGGCUCGUAAAAUCAAUUUAUACACUUUUUUUUAAAAAUUAAUUCACUUUUUUUUCUUGAACAUAAUAUUUUAGUCUUUAGUGAAUAAAUUUCACGAAUAAGUUUGAGUGAAAUAAAGAGUUAUACCUGUAUUA